rnacentral:rRNA from 1 species
CCUACGGGAGGCAGCAGUGGGGAAUAUUGGGCAAUGGAGGAAACUCUGACCCAGCAACGCCGCGUGAAUGAUGAAGGUCUUCGGAUUGUAAAGUUCUUUUCUAAGGGAAGAAGAAAGUGACGGUACCUUAUGAAUAAGCCUCGGCUAACUACGUGCCAGCAGCCGCGUUAAUACGUAGGAGGCGAGCGUUAUCCGGAAUGACUGGGCGUAAAGGGUGCGUAGGUGGUUUGGCAAGUUAGUAGCGUAACUCCAAGGCUCAACCUUGGAACUACUACUAAAACUGUUGGACGUGAGUGCAGGAGGGGCAACCGGAAUUCCAAGUGGAGCGGUGGAAUGCGUAGAGAUUAGGAGGAACACCAGUGGCGAAGGCGGGUUGCUAGACGGUAACUGACACUGAGGCACGAAAGCGUGGGGAGCAAACAGGAUUAGAUACCCGAGUAGUC